CAUCGCACUCACACCAAACCAUAUGACAAAAGAUAGUGUUUCCGACAAUCCGCUCAUCGCUACCAUUGAUUUGAUUUAAUGAAACCAACAACUUAGCGGAAAAACUGUACUACAAUGUUUAUUAAAGGGGUCGUUUCCUCUUUUCUUUCUUUUUUGUGUGUGUGGAGUUUUUAGCACGGUGGAAUGGAGAAGGAUUGCCGACAACUGUUUGAUGUAUUGCAUGAAUGAACCAAUUAAAAAAGGAGGGUUGGGAAUUGCAGGAAACCCUAAUUCAUGAUUUCAAUUCGGAUCUGAUCCGUUGUUUUUUUGCAGAUUGGGAUUUGAUCGGAAAAUUUGAGGGGAGAAGAGCAUAGUUGACAGAAGAGAGUGGGCACACGCAGGCAGUUGUAUAGAGUUAUACCUUUGUGGAUGCGUGUGCUCACUUCUUUUCUGUCACCUUCUCUCUCUUUCCAAACAAGGAACACACACGCACCGUCGCCAUGCCUUGGCCAUUUUUCGAGCUCUUAAUUUAUUUGUGAUAUGCUGCUCGAAUUCAAGUACCCGAGAAUGAUUAGUUCCAGAUCCUCAGGUAUAUAGUUCUUGAUAUAUACUGUAUCAUUCUUUUUUGAUUUACUGGAAUUCGGCAUUAAUUUUUUCUAUUAGGCUAAGUUUCUGAGCACGUCGCCAGCAUUAAUUUUUUCCAUAUCAAAUACUCCCUACAUUUGAUUAAGCUAAAAAAAAAAAUUAGAAUUGGAGUUCUUUUAUUCUUGCCUUUUCAAAUUUCAAUCCAUCCUCUCUUUUCUCUUUUCUCUUUUCUCUUUUCUUUCUAAAUUGGAACUAUAAGAGAUUGAUAUUCAUUGAUGUAAUUUUGGCAAUUUUUUUAGCAUGAUGGUCAAAUUUUCUGAUUACCUCAAAAGUCAAUCUCUCAAUUUGGACAUAGGCACAGAACAUUUGUUGACUGUGACUUUAACUAUAGAACAUCUAGAAGUGAGAUUAAUUUGCGAGUUUCUAUGCUAUUUUAUCCACAAGAACGAAUAUAUAUAGAUUGGACUGAGAGUAAACUAAUAUGACAUAUUUUUAGGAACUUCGAUCAAUACUUUGUUGGCUCAACUCAAGUGGAAGAUUGAGACGAAUGAUUUAAUUUAAUUAGCAAAGUUGUUUAAUAAGUUAGCAUUCUAGGCCUUGGUUACUGGUCAGUAUAAUGAGCUUAACGUGCAUAUUCUGCAAGAAAAGUUGCGUAAGUAUGCAGGAAAGGGUACAAGUCAGCGGGAAAGGAAUCGGAAGACUCAAGUGAAAAAAGAUGCCAGAAGAGUGCAAUACUGACCAGGAUGCAUGCCCAAAGGCUCGAGAUGGAGAGGAGAGGAUCGCUAGUAGACGACCAACUACUUAACGGGGGCAGAAGCGAUAAUGUACAAGGAAGAACAACCCUAAUUUUAGGGCAAGCCACCCUAUAUAUAGAAGGUCACAUGAAGAAUGAAGGGAGACAUAACUCAUUUUAGACACACUUAGAAACCGCUUUCGGAAGUCCUAGUUCCGAAGCGGAGGCUAGCUCCACACCUAUCGUUCCUCGCCUCCAAUCAUGAUCACUUGAAGACCUAGGUAUUCCACCGGGGAUAGUUCACCGUCAACUCCUCCAGCCGUUCUAGUCGCCAGAAUACUGUUUCAUCGCCUGAGUGACAAAACAAUCUUUACUUGCUUUUUUAGUUUAAAUUUGUAUUUCAUUUUAUCUCGUUGGAUUUGCUGUUGGAACUUAAUUCUCUGGUUGUUUUUGAAGUAUCGUGUUGAGAUCCAAACGCUAUGAUAUGGAAGUUUGCUUUUAUUCAUCU